UACGUAGGGUCCGAGCGUUGUCCGGAAUUACUGGGCGUAAAGAGCUCGUAGGUGGUUUGUCGCGUUGUUCGUGAAAACUCACAGCUCAACUGUGGGCGUGCGGGCGAUACGGGCAGACUAGAGUACUGCAGGGGAGACUGGAAUUCCUGGUGUAGCGGUGGAAAUGCGCAGAUAUCAGGAGGAACACCGGUGGCGAAGGCGGGUCUC
rnacentral:rRNA from 1 species